rnacentral:miRNA from 1 species
GCCACAGCCGGGGCUUACAUUGCUUCUCAGACGGUGAAAAAAGUCAUCGAAAUCAACCCUUACCUUCUGGGCACCAUGGCUGGGGGUGCAGCAGACUGCAGCUUCUGGG